UACAGAGGUCUCAAGCGUUGUUCGGAUUCAUUGGGCGUAAAGGGUGCGUAGGUGGCGCGGUAAGUCGGGUGUGAAAUUUCGGAGCUUAACUCCGAAACUGCAUUCGAUACUGCUGUGCUUGAGGACUGGAGAGGAGACUGGAAUUUACGGUGUAGCAGUGAAAUGCGUAGAGAUCGUAAGGAAGACCAGUGGCGAAGGCGGGUCUCUGGACAGUUCCUGACACUGAGGCACGAAGGCCAGGGGAGCAAACGGGG
rnacentral:rRNA from 1 species